GACGAACGCUGGCGGCGUGCUUAACACAUGCAAGUCGAACGGUGAAGGUGGAGCUUGCUCCGCCGGAUCAGUGGCGAACGGGUGAGUAACACGUGGGCAACCUGCCCCAGACUUCGGGAUAACUCCUCGAAAGAGGCGCUAAUACCGGAUACGAGUUCUGCAGGCAUCUGCGGAAUUGGAAAGUUUUUCGGUCUGGGAUGGGCCCGCGGCCUAUCAGCUUGUUGGUGAGGUAACGGCUCACCAAGGCGACGACGGGUAGCCGGCCGGAGAGGGCGACCGGCCACACUGGGACUGAGACACGGCCCAGACUCCUACGGGAGGCAGCAGUGGGGAAUAUUGCGCAAUGGGCGAAAGCCUGACGCAGCAACGCCGCGUGCGGGAUGAAGGCCUUCGGGUUGUAAACCGCUUCCAGCAGGGAAGAAGCGAAAGUGACGGUACCUGCAGAAGAAGCACCGGCUAACUACGUGCCAGCCGCCGCGGUAA
rnacentral:rRNA from 1 species